AGAAGAAAGAUUGGCUUUCUUGGUGUGUCCCAACGGGAUCGAUGUGAAGCUGCAUCAUCUGAGGUUACAGUUAAACCUCGGAGGAAGAGAACGUUGGAUGAUUUGACAGAUGCUCCACGUGGAAGCAGCUCAGGCAGCUGUUGGAAGAGAAAGAAGAAAAAAUCGGGCUAGGACAGGAAGCAGCUGCGCCCAGUGUGGAGGGCUGAAAGGACCAGAACUUCAUGAAGAGGAUGUAGAAGAUGGUAUCAGUAUUGCAGGUUUACAACCUGCACAGGUGGUAACACACACUCACACACACAAAAAAAUGCCCACUGUAGUUUAGAGAAUAUAUAGAUGCCUACAUUCAGAAACACACAUUCAUUGGGAUGAAUCUUGUUUUAAAUUGAUUAAUGCUUUUGAUAACUUGCUGUUUCUGUCUAUUUGUUUAGAUUCUCCCAAAGAGGCUCAAAACGUGGCUUCAACUAACACAAAGGAAGACAGGCCUCAGAGGAAAAGGACCAGAGAAACA